rnacentral:tRNA from 1 species
GGAUCCGUAGCCUAGUCUGGAUAAGGCAUCUGCCUUCUAAGCAGAAGAUCGUGGGUUCAAAUCCCACCGGAUCCA